rnacentral:rRNA from 1 species
CCUACGGGUGGCUGCAGUGGGGAAUAUUGGACAAUGGGGGGAACCCUGAUCCAGCCAUGCCGCGUAUGUGAAGAAGGCCCUCGGGUUGUAAAGCACUUUCAGUGAGGAAGAACGCCUGGUGGUUAAUACCCAUCAGGAAAGACAUCACUCACAGAAGAAGCACCGGCUAACUCCGUGCCAGCAGCCGCGGUAAUACGGAGGGUGCGAGCGUUAAUCGGAAUUACUGGGCGUAAAGCGCGCGUAGGUGGCUUGAUAAGCCGGGUGUGAAAGCCCCGGGCGCAACCUGGGAACGGCAUCCGGAACUGUCAAGCUAGAGUGCAGGAGAGGAAGGUAGAAUUCCCGGUGUAGCGGUGAAAUGCGUAGAGAUCGGGAGGAAUACCAGUGGCGAAGGCGGCCUUCUGGACUGACACUGACACUGAGGUGCGAAAGCGUGGGUAGCAAACAGGAUUAGAUACCCGUGUAGUC